AAGGAGAGGUGGCACAGAGGGGAGGAGGGGGUCGUGGAGGUCCUGGGUCAAAUAUCCUCUCUGCCUUCCAGAUUCACCCACAGCCCUCUGGAGAGACAUGAGAUUGAUAUGUCUUAACAUUUAAGAGGAAAGAAUUGCAUGAGGUACUGAGGUCCAAGGAGGAAAAGUAAUCUGACUGAAAUCACUCAGGACUAAACAGCCAGAUGCAGUCCCAGACUCCAAGUGUGACCUGAUCUGCCAGCCAGAAAGCUGGCCCCAAGUCCAUAGAAAAGGUGGCAUAGAUGGUUUUUUUUAGAGAGAGAGAGAAUCUUAAGUCUUUUUUUUUCUUUUUUUAGACACACACACACACACACACACACACACACACACACAAGCUGGGGAGAGGGGCAGAAGGGAAGAGAGAAUCUUAAGCAGGCUUCACACUCAGUGCGGGGUCAUGCCCUGAGCCAAAAUCAAGAGUCAGACACUCAACCAACUGAGCCAACCAGAUGCUCUGGUGGCAUAGAUUUUACUUAAAGAGUGGGCAAUCAAAAAAUUAUCUCUGACUGAAGAAGGUGACCUCAGUGACCUCUGAGAGAUAACCAUUUGUUUAAUGGUUUUGAUUCUGGUAACACCAGACUGCCCUCCCCUCUACCUGGUAAACCCUAUCCAUCCUUUAUGUUCAGGCUAGAUACCUUCCCAAAGAAGUUUCCUACCCAAGUGCACCAAAUCCCUACUCCAUCUGGGCCCCUGAGGUAGGGGGCCCCUUUGGGACAGGGCUUUCCUGCAUCCAUCACUGUACUGCCAGCACUAAGAAAGCGACACACAGCAGGUGCCAAGGAAAAAUGUGCUUUACUUAAUUUCCAGAAUUGGAAGCAUCCACAGAAACUAGUCCAUGGGUGGCAAACGUGGGCCUACAGGUAACAAAUGUGUGAGGCAGGCUGGCAGGGCAUUUACUGUCUGUAUAAGAGACAGUUGAUGCUGCUCAGCCCCUGGCCGCUUAUGCACAAUGUGCUUCCAGUGCUGCCAGACCUCAGACGGAGCUGAGGAGCUGAUUUUCUAGGUGAAAUCGCCUGUGGUUUAAAUUUUGUCAACAAAUUCAAAUAAAGGGGGAUAAAAUCUUGUGGCCUCUGACCUCUUAUCUAAUCCAACUGCCUCAUAUUAUAGAUGGAAAAACUGAAGCCUAAGGAGAGGAAUGGACUUGCCAUGGACAUUUCAGGAGCCCAGAGGCAACUCGGGCCAAGGUAAGUCUGUCAGUUCUGAAUCUAUGUCAGUUUUGAAUCCAAAGAAUAACUGGACAGGGCCACUCCCAGGAGCCCCUCAGCCCCAUUUAGCAGGGGCUUGGGUGCUUGCAACAGGAGGAGGGUCAUGGACUUGCUCACUUCCACCAAGCCACAGAGAGCCUACAUGGUCCUGUUUCCUAUUCUGGAGCCUCAAACACAAAGUCUUAGGUUUUUUCUUUUUCUUUCUUUUUCCAUUUAAUACUUACACAGCACUUGCUGUGUGCCGGGCACUUUUUUUGUACUCUGCUAAUUAUAAUUUAUAUAAUCUUAUUGAAUAGGAAGCUAUUUUAAUGUUGGUAUUUUUCCUGAGAAAAGGGUAUCCCUCCCUGAGUUCCAGUGCUAGUGCAUUCCUGUUUUGCCAUGUUCUGUCACUCUGCAUCUCUGAGCCUCAGUUUCCUCAUUUGCAAAAUGGAACUAAGAAUCCAGGGUCUGUGAGCACAGUCCCAUGAGGGCAGAAUGUAUAAUCCAUGGGUGGGAAUUACAGGGGGGUGGACUGUGAAUUGGGGUAAGUAAGAACUUCUCAGCUAAGCUGUUCACACAAGAAAUGAGCUGCCUCAGGCAAAGUGAGCUUCCUAUCAUUUGAGGCAACCAAGCAGGAGCAGAUGGUGUAGAGAUGGUGUAGAGGACCCUGGAAGCCACCUGCUUUGGGAGUUUUCAAAUUGUCCUCUAGCAGCUGACCUUCUUGCCCACAUUCCCAAGCAAUCACAGAAGGAGGCUGCUGAGGAAGGGAGGCAGCUUAAUAUUCACUGAAUGAAUGAGUUGGUGGGGACACCCAGGCCCAAACCAAAGGCUUCCAGGGACAGUUUGAAAAUCCCUGGUCUGUCCAGUUGUCUGCUUUUAUGAACAAGGAAACCCAUGAGCAGAAGUCUGGCACUGCAUUUUAAAAAGAAAGCCCCUUGUGAGGACAGAAACAAACAUACAUUAAUAGCACUUGACUAUGCCUGCAAAGAAUAUCUCUGGGCAGAUUCUCAACACUGCCUUCCAGGAAGAUAACUGAAGGUAGGGCGGCGGACAGAAGGGACAGUUUUUCACCAUAUACUCUGUUGUUCUUUUUUAAUGUUUUAGUAUGUGCAGGUAAUAACUUAUUAAACACACACACACACACACACACACACACAUACACACACACACAGAAACAUCAAACAGAUUAGUUUUAUUAUUCAGAAGAAAAGCCUUUAGGCUGAGCGCUCUGGACACAGGCCGAUGGGGAACUGGAACAGCAUUAGGACCCAAAUAGAACAACAGCCAAGCCAUAGCCUGGCCCAGGGGCAUCCCCUUGGGCUAUGUCUCUGACUUAUGGCAAUCACAUCUUGACCUCCUGGGGCCCAGACACACUGUCCAGUGGAAGGGGUGCCAGAGGUAUCCAGCACAACAACACUCUGCCAUUUGGGGGAGCCCAGAGGUGUCACAGGAAGCAGGUGCCAGAGUACUGCCUGCCACAUUUGGAGGUGCCUUUGUAUCCCUGCAUCUUUCAGCUCACAGGUGCCCCUUCCUGGGGACUUCCCAUCACCCAUAUUGGAGACUCAUUCUAUGAUCCAAGAAUACCACCCACAAUUCUAAGUGGGGCUUCAUGUGCAUUUUCCUUACACUGAGAGAAGGCGGAGCUUUCCUAAGUUGUCUAAAGGAGCCAGUGAUCUAAGAACUGAACACCCAUUGAUGCAUGGGUGAAACCCAAACUCCCUUCUGAGCAUAGGCAGGCCUGAGCUAGCCUCACACCCUCCCUGCCCUCCUGUUCUUCUGUCUCUGUCACUUCUCCUGUUCCAAGGCCCACAUGGUCCUUCCUUCUUUGUGGCCUUUGUCUAGGCUUGGCCUACUCAUACCCAUCCUGCAAGACCCAUUCAGAGUUACCUCCUCCUGGGAGCCCUGAUCCUACCCUCUUUACAAGCCAGGGGGUUUUUGUCCCCAGGUGGUAAUUCACCACAUACAAUUCAGGUCUUUGCAUCAACUGCUGCCCCACAUGUAGUCUGUUUCCCAAGGAGAGCGAGCACUCACCAGGGGUUAAUAAUGUGAGAGGCAGGAGACAAGGGGCGCAGAAGUCGCCUAGGAUAUGAAAACCUUUGUCUCUCACUCUGGGCUUUCUGUCUUCCUCCAGGGACACCAAGAGCUCCCAUCUCUGCCUUUGGCCAGGCUGCUUCUCACUGGAUUCCUGACUAGGCCCUGCCCUAGCCCACCAAAGGUCCCUGUACUUGGGAAGGAGCACAGAUUUUUCUGAAACUGAAUCCUUUUAACAAAAGAAAGAGAGAUGGGGAGAAAGGAAAGGAAGAAGGAAAGAAGGAGAGAGAAAUAAAUUAAUGGAGCCCCUACCUGGACACCUUUGUGCACCUUGCUGUCCCCAGCCCAGGGCCCUUGAGGAAUAGCCUCCCCAUGAGUAACACAGGGUCAUCACGUCUUCCCUGGCCACAGUGCUAGGCUGUGAAGAUCAAAGGAGAAACUGUGCUAACAUCCUUGGGCAACUGUGAAGCUCUCUGCCUGAGGUAGGAGAUAAGUACUAUCAUCAUCAUCUCUAAUGGCUCCCAGAUCCAAGAGAUCCAGGCUGACCCCUCCAAGGCUUUAUCAAGCAAUGCUCAAACAGCCAAGUCUCGGUGGAACUAGGUCCUGCUCUGAAGAUCAUAGGUAUUGUGAUACAGAUGGGGCAGGGCAGGUCCAGGAUCCAUUCUGAAUCUCCAGCAGCUCAAGAAUGGGCUGAAUCCCCACUUGCUCCAUCCCACCAACCUUCCCACCCAGGGGCCUCACCACACCCAUCUGCUCACUGGACCCUCACAACACCUUUGUGAGCUCAGAAGGACAGAAAGGCCUAUCCCCUUUUAUAGAUGAGGAAAUGGGCCCAGGGAGAGACAGCUGACUUUUUAUGGUCACACAGCUCGUCCCAUCCUCCUACAUCAGGAAUCAUUCUCUUGACUCUUAGCAAAGAGAGAGAUAAGAAAAAGAAGCCAAGACCCUUGCAACUGAGCCCUGAUCUCUCCUUAGGAUGCCGUUGCCCUUUGAGUCAGGGAAGGAAGUGAAAGUGAGGUCUCUGCUUCCCCACUGAAUGUUCCUACCAGGGCUGGCCCAGGCCCAGCCCAUGCUCAGCUUGGCUCCUUAAGUAGACACCAAUUCUCUGCCUUCUAGUCCACCUGGGACCCCGUGUUCUGAGCGUUCCUCAGGGAGCCUGGACUCUGAACUCUGCUCUGCACUAUCAGACUAGUCCUAUAUUAAGACUGGCUAGAGUCUCCUCUUUGGCAAGAGUCCUAGGCUCUCCUGAGACUAGAGCGUCCUAUAGGGCCACGUGGGGCCCUUCACUUGAGCAGCAUGAUGAGGGUGCCUUCUUCCCCCUUAGAGCCCAGGUGACAGGAGUGGCCACCUACUCCUGGGAGUAGGUCUGGGAGACCAGGGCUGCCCUGUUCCCCCAAAGACUGGAGUCACAGUGGGUGACAGGUCACA